rnacentral:rRNA from 1 species
GGRGUAAUUYUAAACGGCCGSGGAAUUUUAACCGUGCUAAGGUAGCAUAAUCAUUUGUCUUUUAAUUAAAGACUUGUAUGAAUGGUUUAAUGAAAUAAAGCUAUCUCUAAAAUAUUAAAUAAAAAUUAUUUUUAAAGUGAAAAAUCUUUAAUAAAAUAAAAAGACAAAAAGACCCUAUAGAGUUUAAUUUAUCUGUAUAGACACAUAUAUAUAUAAAUUUAGUUGGGGCAACUAAUGAAAAAAAAAAUUUCUUUUAAAAAAAAAAAAUAAAAUCAUUAAUUUAAUACUAUAAAACAAAUUACCUUAGGGGUAACAGCGUAAUUUUUUUUAARAGCUCAAAUCGAARAAAAAAAUUAC